AAGUAUUUAUCCACUUAAUGUUAAGAUAUAUUAUCACUUUAACUUUAUUCGUCAUAAUUUCCUUACAAGAUAUAUUUUCGAGAUAUAAGCUCUCAUAGAUAACACUUCUAUUAGAUAAAUUCAAUAUGAUAUAGGAAUAUAUUUUUUGUCAUCGAAGAAACUUGAAAACCACAAGCGUAGUGUGGAUAUAUGGUUACCUUGUUAAUAUAGAAAGCCUAUCAACUGUCUGUCUGUGUAAGCAGUAGUCGUGCGUGUAACGCUAUAAAAGUUUGGCCUAGCAUUCAGUGUAACGUAGGCAUUAAGAAAUAUAUAUAUGAAAGCAUUGUUAGAUCCUCAUUAAUAUUAUGCUCCAAAAUUUUCUUUAAUGCAUAUCGCAACCAGCAAUCAUGCCGUUUGGUUUCAUUAUUAUAACAGGAUUGUUGGCCUUUGGUGCAUAUUGGACGACUAAAUACAUAAUGAACUUGUCAAA